AGCAUCCUAGCCGAAGCGCGGACCUCAGUCCCGGCUGGCCGUAUUACACCCUGGGCUAUAACACCUCCACCGAAGUGGAGGCCACAUUCCCAGAGCCUUUAUCCGGCCGCCGAAACUGAUGCUGGCCUGUCCAAACUGAGUAAACCGGUCAGAAGACCGGCCGAACAGUUUAAACAAGUCUGAUUGCAAGCGCUUCCCUUUCAACAAUUUCACGUGCUUUUUAACUCUCUUUCCAAAGUGCUUUUCAUCUUUCGAUCACUCUACUUGUGCGCUAUCGGUCUCUCGCCAAUAUUUAGCUUUAGAAGAAAUUUACCUCCCAUUUAGAGCUGCAUUCCCAAACAACUCGACUCGUCGAAGGAGAUUUACAUAGGGUGCCAUUUCCUGUCACAUACGGGAUUCUCACCCUCUAUGACGUCCUGUUCCAAGGAACUUAGACAGGCGGCUUCCCCAAAUCAUCCUCUACAAAUUACAAUGCGAACCCGAAGGCUAGCUUUCAAAUUUGAGCUGUUGCCGCUUCACUCGCCGUUACUAGGGCAA
rnacentral:rRNA from 1 species